ensembl:lncRNA novel transcript
CUCUUUUGCCACGGGAUAUUGCAGCAUGAAAGCUCUCACCAGAUAUAAGCACCGUGCUUUUGGAAUUCUCAGCCCCCAAAAUGUGCUAUAAUAAAACCAUGGUGCUGAUUUAUGAUGAACGUGGAGAUGUACCACCUAGAUUUCUCUUCAAGGAAGGACUUGUUUCCUCUGCUGAUGGAAUUCCUGUCAACAGAGACCUUUCAGGUGCCAGUGACUUGGAGAAGGCCUGAGCUGUAGAGCAACAUCACCUAAGGUCACGCCCUACGUGAGUCAGCAGAAUCCACUGACUGAUGGAGAUUAUAAAGACUUAGCCAUUUUGUCUCAAUGAGGUGUACCUACAAUGGGUCAUAUGAGCUCCACAGCUCCCUGUGGAGUCAGCUCAGACUGUUGUUGACUUACAUUGUACCUCAACUUCUCUCUCUGCCAAAUCUAGCUCCCUUUACCUCACAAUCAUAGGCGUUCAUCCCAAAGACAUCCCUUAAUAUAAAUAAUGCACAAUAUACUCUAUAUGUUAAUC